AGAGCGAACGCUGGCGGCAGGCCUAACACAUGCAAGUCGAGCGCCCGUAGCAAUACGGGAGCGGCAGACGGGAUAGUAACACGUGGGAACGCGCCCUUCGGUUCGGAAUAACUCAGGGAAACUUGAGCUAAUACCGGAUACGCCCUUACGGGGAAAGAUUUAUUGCCGAAGGAACGGCCCGCGUCCGAUUAGCUAGUUGGUGAGGUAAUGGCUCACCAAGGCUACGAUCGGUAGCUGGUCUGAGAGGAUGACCAGCAUCACUGGGACUGAGACACGGCCCAGACUCCUACGGGAGGCAGCAGUGGGGAAUAUGGACAAUGGGCGCAAGCCUGAUCCAGCCAUGCCGCGUGGAUGAUGAAGGCCUUAGGGUUGUAAAGUCCUUUUAACGGGGAAGAUAAUGACGGUACCCGUAGAAUAAGCCCCGGCUAACUUCGCGCCAGCAGCCGC
rnacentral:rRNA from 1 species